GGAGAGAACAUGAGAGAGGGAACAUGAGAGAGAGAACAUGAGAGAGAAAGAGAGGAGAGAACAUGAGAGAGGGAACAUGAGAGAGAAAGAGAGGAGAGAACAUGGGAGGGAGAGAGAAAGAGAGGAGAGAACAAGGGAGAGAGAAAGAGAGGAGAGAACAAGGGAGAGAGAGAGAGGAGAGAACAUAAGAGAGGAGAGAACAUGGGAGGGAGAGAGAACAUGAGAAAGAAAGAGAGGAGAGACCAAGGGAGGGAGAGAGAAAGAGAGGAGAGAACAAGGGAGAGAGAGAGAGUUAUGUGGUGGGUGGCUCUGCUGUCCUGAAUCCUGACUCCAUACUAACAGGUUAUCAGUUAACCUGGCCCAACUGCAUACAUCUGAUGUAUUGUAUAUCUGUGUUAAUCCGCUUUGGACCAUAGCCUCUCCUAAAUCGGGGCAAGCCUUUUGCUAGCUCAGAGAGAGAGAGAGCUAAACGUUAGAGCAAAACAACAACCCAACCCUCCUUCCCGUUCACUCCUCCUCCCCUCACUCCCCAUCUCCACAAACAAGUGGAUUGUUCAGAAUGUUUAACAUGUAAACACAGGCUGGUACAUCAAAGCUAACAUGGGAUGGUAAACCCUAGUCCCUGUAAUUACAGAGUGAAUUAACAUGGUUGUGAAGCUAUUAGUAGAACCCAUUCACAGGUACAGUCUGAGGGGAUCUACUUUUAAAACUCAUGUGGACAAGAGGAGCGGACGGGCGGACUCUCUCUCUCUCUCUCAUAAUAAUAAUAAUGAUCAGCUCUCUCCAGUGUUCUCUGUAGAUUUAAGGCCCUUGCGCUGGACUGUUUUGCUUUAUUUCCUCCCGUAAGAUUAAAGUGAGAUCCUCUCUGGUGCUGCUCUUUAAUCUGUGUGGAAUUUAACAGAAUGGGUUCCAGGAGCAGCUCUCGCAUGACGAGUAACCUUGUGUUAGUUCAGAGGUGGGAGACCCGGGGUAGAACCCAGCUCGGUCACACCAGCACUCACACAGAAACACAUGUUCCUUGUGUUAGUUCACAGAGGCAGGAGACCCGGGGUAGAACCCAGCUCGGUCACACCAGCACUCACACAGAAACACAUGUUCCUUGUGUUAGUUCAGAGAGGCAGGAGACCCGGGGUAGAACCCAGCUCGGUCACACCAGCACUCACACAGAAACACAUGUUCCUUGUGUUAGUUCACAGAGGCAGGAGACCCGGGGUAGAACCCAGCUCGGUCACACCAGCACUCACACAGAAACACAUGUUCCUUGUGUUAGUUCAGAGGCAG
ensembl:lncRNA